rnacentral:rRNA from 1 species
AAACCAGCACCUCAAGUGGUCAGGAUGAUUAUUGGGCCUAAAGCAUCCGUAGCUGGCUCUGUAAGUUUUCGGUUAAAUCUGUACGCUCAACGUACAGGCUGCUGGGAAUACUGCAGAGCUAGGGAGUGGGAGAGAUAGACGGUACUCGGGAGGAAGUGGUAAAAUGCUUUGAUCUCUCGAUGACCACCUGUGGCGAAGGCGGUCUAUCAGAACACGUCCGACGGUGAGGGAUGAAAGCUGGGGGAGCAAACCGGAUUAGAAACCCUAGUAGUCC